rnacentral:misc_RNA from 1 species
GCUUUUGGCCUAACGGAUAAGGCACCUGACUUCUAAUCAGACGACUUGUGGGUUCGAGUCUCACCAGGCGUGCAGAAUGUCACUCACUCACUGGCCAUAUAGCAUAUAAAGUUAACAGAUCAACUAGUUCUUCUCAAUUUCACCCUUGUCAUCAUUGAAGAUGUAUAUAAAGACUAGGAGAAGAAAAACAAUACAAGUAUUUGCAUCUAAUGAACUACAAACCAAAAGCCACAAAAACCAUUUUCAUCUACGAACCCAUCUAAUUUAACCUAAUUACAUGACAAUUCAUGAAUUCAUCCGGUUGUGGAAGAUGGCUCACUCCUCUUGUUUGAAGAAAGUUGUUGUUGCUGUUGAUGAAGAUCAAGAAAUUCAAGCUCUUUCUGGCGUAUCAGAAGUACCAUUCUUUCACUUUCAAGUCUUCUCCUUUCAUUCUCAAGUUUUGCUCUCUCCAUUUCCCUCUCUUUCUUGCUGCUAAAUUUCACCCACUUCAACCUUUGCUUUUCAAGUUCCAAUGCUUGGCAUUGGUAGCUCACUUGCUGCUCUUCUAAUUGCAUCAAUCUCAGCUUCAUCCAAUGCUUCUUUUCCCAUGUACUCUUUGCUCCAUCUUGGAUAACACUCGCUAAUUCAUUAUUCAGUUGCUGCAUCAAAGAUGAUGAUAAAGAGAACACUUCUGUUCUUCUUCUUUUCCUUGAACCUUUCUCCUCAUGCUCAUCUUCAUCAUCAUGUCCAUGAUGACUAUUUUGACCCCUUGAAUUGCCUUCUAUUGCCUCAUCCACCUCCUCAUCAUAAUCAUCCUCAUCCUCCUCGCUCUCAUCAUCAUCAUCA